ACUGGUCUUUCAUGUUAUUUAGGCAGGCAAUGAAUUUAUGGGCGGGACUGAGUGAAUUUGACCUACUUAAACUUUAGUUUACUAUCUUCUAUUCUCUCUCACAUCACAAGUACUUCAUCAUCUCUUUCUCAUUUGCAAUCAUUCUUCCUAUCUAAGACGGUGGUAAGGGUCGACAAUGGAGGCUCACUCGUUCUCCCUUUCUCAACUGCGAGGGUGUGGAUGCACCGAUCGGGCAUCGACGGGGCUACGUGUGCGACGAUCGGGGAUCGAUGAGAUCGUGGGUGCAUCUCGAAUGAAGUGGACAGUGGACAAUUUUGAGUGCCAUAGAAAAAAAUAGUUAUGGUGGCAGAAGGAUUCUUGGUAGCUUGGUUUGUGUAUUAAGGAUGAAGGGAUUCGAUGGACUGCGUGACGAUUCGAGGACAACGUUAUUUUUAGUCUCUUUAAAUUAUGUUUUUAUGUAUUUUCCACAUUUAGCUUUGUAAACAAUUUCCUUUAGUUUAAAGUUAUGUUUUAUUUUAAAACAAUGGGAUCCUACACCACUCAUUUAUGUAUUUCAAUAUUUACUUUGGAGUUUUUAAUAAAGUUAUGAAUAUUCCUUA